AGGAUUCCCCUAGUAACUGCGAGUGAAGCGGGAAAAGCUCAAAUUUAAAAUCUGGUAGUCUUUGGCUGCCCGAGUUGUAAUCUAGAGAAGCAUUAUCCGCGCUGGACCGUGUACAAGUGUCCUGGAAUGGACCAUCAUAGAGGGUGAGAAUCCCGUCUUUGACACGGACUACCAGGGCUUUGUGAUGUGCUCUCAAAGAGUCGAGUUGUUUGGGAAUGCAGCUCUAAAUGGGUGGUAAAUUCCAUCUAAAGCUAAAUAUUGGCGAGAGACCGAUAGCGAACAAGUACCGUGAGGGAAAGAUGAAAAGAACUUUGGAAAGAGAGUUAAACAGUACGUGAAAUUGCUGAAAGGGAAACGCUUGAAGUCAGUCGCGUUGGCUGGGGAUCAACCUUGCUUCUUGCUUGGCUUACUUCCCAGUUGACGGGUCAGCAUCAGUUUUGACCGGUGGAUAAAGGUCAGGGGAAUGUGGCACCCUCGGGUGUGUUAUAGCCUCUGGUCAUAUACAUUGGUUGG
rnacentral:rRNA from 7 species